rnacentral:rRNA from 1 species
CACGUAGGGGGCGAGCGUUGUCCGGAUUUAUUGGGCGUAAAGAGCUCGUAGGCGGCUCAGUAAGUCGGGUGUGAAAACUCCAGGCUCAACCUGGAGACGCCACCUGAUACUGCUGUGGCUAGAGUCCGGUAGGGGAGCAUGGAAUUCCUGGUGUAGCGGUGAAAUGCGCAGAUAUCAGGAGGAACACCAGUGGCGAAGGCGGUGCUCUGGGCCGGAACUGACGCUGAGGAGCGAAAGCAUGGGGAGCGAACAGG